CGGGCUUUACCUUUCCAUCUUGCUUUUGUCAGUGAGUGGAACCCCUGCUCAAGUCCAGAACCAAAUGAGGUUACAUAGAAACUCAAGUACAAGUGGGAACUUCUGCUCAAGUCCGGAACCAACUGAGGUUACACAAAAUCUCAUUGAGCGUUUGGAGAAAGAGACUGCUGCAACAUGCAAUUGCAGUGCCAAUGUAAGUGAAUGGGUCAGAAUUUUUAAGCCCUGUUGAUAUUUUUCUGUUGUCAAGUAUCACUUAACAGAAUCUUAUCUUUAAAUAUCUCUUUUGCAGGUGACUGACUGUUUAUGUCUUCCUGUAUCUUCUAACAGCUGUAGCACAUCGUGCUUUCAGUAUGGGCUGACAAAGAUGUCUGACACAUUGAAACCAAGUUAUAGUCGAACCAUCUUUAGAGUGCAGAGUUAUGUCGGGCAGCUAAGGCGCCUCAAAUGCAAACCUUUUUCAUGUUACCAGCCAUGCAAUGAGACCUUCACUGCUAACACAAUGGAGUUUCUGAAGGCUCUCCAGGAAAACUUCCAGAAAGUACCUAUUUCUAACAACUAAUGAACAAGCAAUUACUAUUUAACAUAUUUAUUAUCUAAAUAAAUCAUCCUACUAUAAUUAUUGCA
rnacentral:lncRNA from 1 species